rnacentral:rRNA from 1 species
UAACCUGCCCAAGAGAUCGGGAUAACACCUGGAAACAGAUGCUAAUACCGGAUAACAACAGAUGAUGCCUAUCAACUGUUUAAAAGAUGGGUUCUGCUAUCACUCUUGGAUGGACCUGCGGUGCAUUAGCUAGUUGGUAGGGUAACGGCCUACCAAGGCGAUGAUGCAUAGCCGAGUUGAGAGACUGAUCGGCCACAUUGGGACUGAGACACGGCCCAAACUCCUACGGGAGGCAGCAGCC